ACCUUCGGGUGUGAAUUAGCGGCGAACGGGUGAGGAACACGUGAGAAAUCUGCCUUCAACUCUGGGAUAACUCCGUGAAAACGGGGCUAAUACCGGAUAUGAAACCUUCAGGCAUCUGAGGGUUUGGAAAGUUUUUCGGUUGAAGAUGAUCUCGCGGCCUAUCAGCUUGUUGGUGAGGUAAUGGCUCACCAAGGCGACGACGGGUAGCCGGCCUGAGAGGGCGACCGGCCACACUGGGACUGAGACACGGCCCAGACUCCUACGGGAGGCAGCAGUGGGGAAUAUUGGGCAAUGGAGGAAACUCUGACCCAGCGACGCCGCGUACGGGAUGAAGGCCUUCGGGUUGUAAACCGCUUUCAGCAGGGAAGAAGCGAAAGUGACGGUACCUGCAGAAGAAGCACCGGCUAACUAUGUGCCAGCAGCCGCGGUAAUACAUAGGGUGCAAGCGUUGUCCGGAAUUAUUGGGCGUAAAGAGCUCGUAGGUGGUUCGUCACGUCGGAUGUGAAACUCUGGGGCUUAACCCCAGACCUGCAUUCGAUACGGGCGAGCUUGAGUAUGGUAGGGGAGUCUGGAAUUCCUGGUGUAGCGGUGGAAUGCGCAGAUAUCAGGAGGAACACCAAUGGCGAAGGCAGGACUCUGGGCCAUUACUGACACUGAGGAGCGAAAGCGUGGGGAGCGAACAGGAUUAGAUACCCUGGUAGUCCACGCCGUANACGGUGGGCACUAGUUGUGGGGACCUUCCACGGUCUCUGCGACGCAGCUAACGCAUUAAGUGCCCCGCCUGGGGAGUACGAUCGCAAGAUUAAAACUCAAAGGAAUUGACGGGGCCCCGCACAAGCAGCGGAGCAUGCGGCUUAAUUCGACG
rnacentral:rRNA from 1 species